GACACUUAUAGUACGUUCAGAUUAUGAGCUAUAUCACUUGAUAUAGCGAAUCUUGACAUGAGAUGCCAUAUGCAUUAUUUCCAGUGAAAACUAGAUGUACAAACACUGAUGUCAAGAUGCUCUAUAUCAAGUGAUAUAGCUCAUAAUCUGAACGUACUAUUAUAGCCUAUUCAGAUUACGCCAUUAAUGACAUCCCGCAUAAAUGAAAACCAUCUACAGUAUUCUUGCUACUAUUCACUCGCAUUAAGGAGUACUGUAGCUAAUUGUGUAAUCAUAGAUGUACAAUGUAACUAUAUGUUGACAUAGAAUCAAUACCAUACAGCAUGUUUCAUCGAUAGUAUCAUAUGUAAUAAUGUCAUAUUUUAUUGUUUAUUUAUAGUGCCUUAUCUUCCGUUCUUUCGAAAUAAACAAUAAUAAACUGUAAAUAAUUUAUACAAGGUAUGUCAACAACAUGAUAUAUGGCUGUGAAAUAAUUAUGUAUCUUCUAAAUCUAGUUUUGUUUUGUUCCGGUGUUGAAUCACAGUUAAGAAUUAUAUCUUCCAAUGAUAAAUAUGCGAUUAACAUAUUAGUUCAGCAAUGAUGCUUAAAAGACCACAGAAUUAUUUUCCCGUGUAGCUGUUGUUGAUUUCGUUGGACAAAACUAGUUCGGUGGAAUCAAAAUGUUCCUUGUUCAGUUGUUUUGCUGAACUUUCUACUUACUUUUUGUACUUAAAAUCAUUGUUAUGAUUGCGAAAAAGUGUGGAAGAAGAGCUCCCUUAGUCCCAAAAUAACGUGAUAUUGGUAAAUUUCGGAUUCUCUUGCAUGCAGCUUCCCGGAUGCCCAAAGAAAAAGCAAAGACAAGCUGGCUCAAUUUUACUUUGCUUAUAUUUUAUUUUCAAG